rnacentral:misc_RNA from 1 species
AGGUCGGGCUGGAAACCCUCGCCUCUCGCGGUCUCGCCUCUCCAAGACACCCAGGCCGCCGCCUUCGCCUACAGGCACCUUGCCGCCUCCGUCCGCUGCCCGUGGCUUCCGUCCACCUCCACCUCACUCACCCACUACAUCGCCGACCAAGCGCAGCACCGCGCGUGGACCAGACACCGCCCGUGGCUUCCGUGGACCAGACGCCGCCCGUGGCUUCCGUGGACGCAGCACCGUGCGUGGACCAGCCGCUGCUACAUCGCCGACCAGAUGUGCUGAUCCAAUUCAGUUUUCAGAGUAUGUUGACAAUCUGAAUUUAGUUCAAGCAAUACCUUCUCUUUAUUACAGAUGUUUAACCAGGUGAUACACAAGGGAUUUUCAUCAACAAGUGGUCGCCAGAAGAACUGAAACAUCAAGAUGGCGUUUGCUUUUAGGUCGUGUAUGUUGAAACUAUAUGUUUUAUUAUUAUGCACUGAGACUAUGUUUGACAUUGGUCGUGUACACUGAGACUAUGUUUUAUUAUGAGACUAUGUUUUAUUAUGAUGCACUGAGACUAUGUUUGUGCACACAUGUUUUAUUAUGA